rnacentral:rRNA from 1 species
CCCUACGGGGCGCAGCAGUGGGGAAUAUUGGGCAAUGGGCGCAAGCCUGACCCAGCGACGCCGCGUGAGGGAAGACGGUCUUCGGAUUGUAAACCUCUUUCAGCAGGGAAGACAAAAGGACGGUACCUGCAGAAGGAGCCACAGCUAACUACGUGCCAGCAGCCGCGUUAAUACGUAGGUGGCAGGCGUUAUCCGGAAUUACUGGGUGUAAAGGGUGUGUAGGCGGGGCUGCAAGUCUGAUGUGAAAAUUAUGGGCUCAAACCAUAACCUGAGUCUGAAACUGUAGAUC